rnacentral:lncRNA from 1 species
CCUUAAUCAGCAGCCUCCUGCAAUAAUAGUUGUGGAAUGAAAAGGCAGAGAAGAAGGAGAAAGAGGAGGAAGCAGAAAGUGGCCAAGCUCACUGGCCACAAUAUGAACUCAAAUGAAGGCAACCUGGUUUCUGUGUUCAUUCUGUAUAAAUAUCCCAAGCAAUUUACAGAGAUGGGGAGAAGGCUCUGGAGCAAAAGCCUGCGGAAUCUAGGCUGCAGUGCACUUACUCAGAUAAAGGAGAGGCUCUAGGAUCCGGGGCAGAAAUUCUCCAGCAGAAACGUUAUGCUGGGGGGAAUCACCAAUUACUCCUGUUAGCACCUGCAAGCAGGCAUUUUAACAAAGCAGCAUUCUCUCAUUCUGUUGAAAUGCACAGCAUAUCCCGCCAGGCUAAUUAAAUAGCAGCCCCUCCCUUACAAAUAAGAGCACUGCAGAGGGUGUGCUUGAGCUCAGCCCUUGCACAUAAAGGGGGACCAUUCCCAGGUUGGAUUCCAAGAGGGAAAUAAAGACUUCCAGCAAGAGGGAUCUGCUCUGUGCCUGAUGCCACCGCUCAGCUCACUCGGCAAAGCAAGCCCUCCACCAAGCUCCCUCCCACCCAGCCCCACCGAGACUGCAUCUGCCUGCCCAGACUUAAUGGGAGCAGCCGAGUUCUGCUGGCUUCAGCUUCCCAGGCACUGCCUAAUUGCAGGGCAACACCAUGUGCCACGGAGCAGUUUUGUUUGUCAACCUGAAGGGUUUUGUGUCAGCUCCAUAAAACGCAGGCAAAGUGCAUCCAGCACAGCGUGGUACGGUGUGCAGCGCAGCGAUGUCACCUGCACCUGGACACCUCUGGGACCCGUUACCCUUGCUGAGGGUGCAUCCAACGCAGUUGCCUUGGUGUCACUCCACAGCAUUUCUGUCCUUGGCCCUUUGAAUGUGGAACGACUUUCCCACAGGUGGCUACUAUGUUCUAAUACUCAUGUCUACAGAGGAGUCCAAACACUGAAACUGGAGUUAUGUGAGAUGGUACAUGUGCAAGAGAGGAUGGAAAAGACUUGUAGUGGAGAAGUUUCAAGUGGAGGAUUGAUGGCCUGUGAUCGUGAAGCCAAAUCACUCGCUAUACUUGCUUUGCACUACACGAUUUCCUGCUGUUGUUUCUAGUUACAGUAGAUAAUAAAAAAUGUUACAAAACCCUCUUAACA